UUAACUCUGAUUUGUAUGGAGUUGGAACGUUCGCCUGCGUUUGCCGCUAGGGGCGCUGUUCCAGCUGCAUACAAAUUGGAGUUA
rfam:Bombyx mori DNA, contig: Bm_scaf27_contig17864, strain: p50T/Dazao, build 2, whole genome shotgun sequence.